rnacentral:rRNA from 1 species
GUGGGGAAUCUUCCGCAAUGGGCGAAAGCCUGACGGAGCAACGCCGCGUGAGUGAAGACGGCCUUCGGGUUGUAAAGCUCUGUUAUAUGGGACGAACGGGUGUAUGGUCAAUACCCAUACGCCGUGACGGUACCGUAAGAGAAAGCCACGGCUAACUACGUGCCAGCAGCCGCGGUAAUACGUAGGUGGCAAGCGUUGUCCGGAAUCAUUGGGCGUAAAGGGCGCGCAGGCGGUUCGGUAAGUCGGUCUUAAAAGUGCGGGGCUUAACCCCGUGAUGGGAUUGAAACUGCCGGACUUGAGUGUCGGAGAGGAAAGCAGAAUUCCUAGUGUAGCGGUGAAAUGCGUAGAUAUUAGGAGGAAUACCAGUGGCGAAAGCGGCUUUCUGGACGACAACUGACGCUGAGGCGCGAAAGCCAGGGGAGCAAACGGGAUUAGAUACCCCGGUAGUCC